rnacentral:lncRNA from 1 species
GGCUCGCUCGAAUUAAGCUCGAAAAGCUCGAAAUAUAUAUACAUAUAUAUAUAUAUAUAUAGUCUACUAUACUAUUAAUAGUACCAACCCUUGCUAUUAGGUUUUCGACUUUUGGAUGAAGGAAUGUGCGGUUAGAAUGACAAUGAUCCUCUAGGGUUGAGCGUGUGGUUAGUUGAAUAAUAUGAUCUAACGGCACAAAAUUCGAUAGUACCAAGCAUUUAGUAUUAUCGAUAAUAUAGUAGUCGGACUCUCUCUCUCUCUCUAUAUAUAUAUAUAUAGUCCGGCUACUAUACUAUCUAUACUAUCUAUAGUACUAAGCGCUUUGUACUAUUGAGUUUUUUGCCGUUAGAUCUGCUUAUAUAUAUCUAUAUAGAGUUCGGCUAUUAUACUAUCGAUAGUACCAAGCAUAUGGUGCUAUCGAGUUUUCUGCUGUUAGAUCUAUCUCUUUAGCCAUUUUCAUCCGUUAGAUCAUAAUAUUCAACUAGUCACCCACUCAACCCUAGAGGGCUACUAUCAUAUUAACCGCACAUUCUUUCAUUCAAGGGCCGAAAACCUAAUAGCAAGCGGUCUGUGCUAUUAAUAGUAUGGUAGCCUAAUUCUAUAUAUAUAUGCUCGUGCUACUAUACUCUUAUAAGUAUAAACCCCUUCAUACUUAUAAAUUUUCAGCCGUUAAAUAUGCGAUUAGAAUGAUAGUGGUCCCGUAAGAUUGAGUGGGUGGUUAGUUGAAUAGUAUGAUUUAACGAAUAAAAAUGGUCAAAAGAAUAGAUCUAACGGUCGAA